rnacentral:rRNA from 1 species
AUUGAACGCUGGCGGCAUGCCUUACACAUGCAAGUCGAACGGCAGCACGGGAGCUUGCUCCUGGUGGCGAGUGGCGAACGGGUGAGUAAUACAUCGGAACGUACCCAGGAGUGGGGGAUAACGUAGCGAAAGUUACGCUAAUACCGCAUAUUCUGUGAGCAGGAAAGCGGGGGAUCGCAAGACCUCGCGCUCUUGGAGCGGCCGAUGUCGGAUUAGCUAGUUGGUGGGGUAAGAGCUCACCAAGGCGACGAUCCGUAGCAGGUCUGAGAGGAUGAUCGGCCACACUGGGACUGGGACACGGCCCAGACUCCUACGGGGGGCAGCAGUGGGGAAUUUUGGACAAUGGGGGCAACCCUGAUCCAGCCAUGCCGCGUGAGUGAAGAAGGCCUUCGGGUUGUAAAGCUCUUUCGGCGGGGAAGAAAUGGCAACGGUUAAUACCUGUUGUCGAUGACGGUACCCGCAUAAGAAGCACCGGCUAACUACGUGCCAGCAGCCGCGGUAAGAC